GUGAUAGCUCAGUCAGUAGAGCAUGAGACUCAUAAUCUCCAGAGUUGUGGGUUUGAGUCUCACGUUGGCCA
rnacentral:tRNA from 1 species